ensembl:Mt_tRNA
GGAGUAGUGUCUGAACCAAGAGUCACUUUGAUAGAGUGAAAUACGUGGGUGAAAAUCCCCCCUACUCCU